AGAUCCAACACUUCCAUGGUAUGGUUUUGAUUUUGUUGCCUGUGGUGGUCGGAGUUGAAUCGCAUACGACAAAGAAGACGCUGAUUAUCCUCAGAUUUUAGAGAUCUGUAAUCGUUCAAUCGCAGCAAUCCAGAGCGAUUCGGUGACAAUGAACCUGUUUGCUGAUGAUAUCAUGAUGUUGAUUUUGAACCGUUGAUGGUUAUUGCUAAGGGUUAUGGUCGUGAGAUUGAUGAUGAUGUUGGUGAAGCUCAAAGUCACAGCAAAUCGGUGAGAUCUUUCUUGUUUUUCGUAUUUUGAGUUCUAUAAUCUCUCUUCUUCUCUCAAUAUUUUAUGAAGGGUCUGUGUAAAAAAUGAGGAAGAUGAUGAUGUAAUAGGGUUUCAUGAACGUUAAUGUUGUAUCCCAUUUACGGAAUCUGAACUGCGUUCUUUUUCUUUCUUCUCAUUGUUUUUGGAAAAUUUGUUACAUGAGGAUGAUGAUGAUGGAAUUUUAGGGUUUUGAUUUUGUAUUCUACUGCAGUGAAAAAAUGUGAAUCAACUGUUAACUUAUUCUUUUUAUCUUUAUUGUGAAUCAAAGUUUAUUUGUGAUUUGUAGUAAAGAUUAGGCCCAUGAUUAUUCGAUGAAACUGUAUGAGGGUUGAGGCCUUUAACUCGCUAACAUGAUUUGAAUCAUUCCCCUUAAAAAUUCUGAUUCCUUCACAUAAACCCUAAUGAUGAAUUAAGAAUCUUCUUUAGACUUCCUAUUCAUAUUCAUGUUUCUUCUAUUAAUAUCAUGUCUUGGUUUGUAUCCAUCUAUUUUUAUUACUGUUUUUGAUCUUCUCCUUCAAAUGCAGGUCAUUAUAUUUUGUUUACCGUUAAUUUUUUGUUGAUUUAUCAAUAUAAUUUGUGCGACAUGUCCGAUAGUAUUGUUAUUUGCUAAUGGUUUUUCUCACCGUAGGUUUUCAAGAACUCUCGGCUGACUUAGUUGAGACAGCAGCUGCAUACUGCCAGUUAAUUGUUGUUUCCAAGUAAGUUUCUACUGAAUUUACAUGUCAUUGCUUGUCAUUGUCAGCUUGCAAAUGCAGGUAGUUUUAUUCGAUUGAUAUGUGGCAUGUUUUAAUAAUGAUGUAUGCGCCCUGUUUGUGUAUUCAUCGGCAUAAAUGAACGUGUUCCGUAUAAUGCUCCUGUUACCGAAUUCUCUUAUGGGCAGAUCGUGACUGGAUAUUUUUCUCUUUAAACUGGAAGAUUGUAACUUGGAGUUCCAAAGAAACUUACUGCACCUGGUGUGUGUAUACUUUUGAAAUAAUUUGUUAUGAAACUGGUGCUACAAUUGAUAACUAUAUGUAUGAUGUAAAACAGGUCAAAGGAAUGUUCCUAUAAAAGAAUAUCACGAGAGUUGAAUGAAUGGCAGAAGAAUGCAACAGCUGAGGAAAUGUUUCUCGCCUCAUACGGGAUGGAGAAGUUUUCUAAAUUCAAUUAUUGAUCAAAUUAAUUAUUGUGCUUCGAUUAUAAAAUAUUCAUUGAGAAUGAAAGCUAUAAUGUUUCAGAAUUUUUGUUUGUUCGAUAAUGUUUUGCUGAUGUUUUGUAUUUAUGCAGGCUAAUCAACUUGCUUUCGUCAUAAGCGUGGCGACAGUCACGCUGUCGCAGAAAAAAAUUUCUUCCUCCCAAUUUUUCUAUUCCGCUUGUAGUAAGAUUCGAGGAACCAAAAAUACCCCUUCAAAUUCCUCAACCCAAGAAUCAAGAAGUUAUUCAAGUGUAGCAGGUUAAUUUGGAUCUCGAAGGAACUUAUAGUAAUGAUUAAAGUGGUGAUGAGGCAAGCUAUGGUGACGAAGAUUGACAAGUCCAGAAAACUUAUCUUCUCAUAUUUAUCGAAUG